AUUACGUCCCUGCCCUUUGUACACACCGCCCGUCGCUACUACCGAUUGAAUGGCUUAGUGAGGUCUUCGGAUUAGCUUUUGGGAGCCGACAACGGCACCUAGAGGUCUGAGAAGUUGAUCAAACUUGGUCAUUUAGAGGAAGUAAAAGUCGUAACAAGGUUUCCGUAGGUGAACCUGCGGAAGGAUCAUUAUUGAAAGUUUUGGGAGUACUGUUGCUGGUCUUUUACAAGGCAUGUGCACGUACUUCUAAUCUAUUCAUCCACCUGUGCAUCUUUUGUAGGAGUUCUUUCAGGUGGGCUUGCAGGUCCUUUGGACAUUGCAUUGGCUAGCAUGUGAGGCUUCUAUGUCUUUACAAACCAAUUAAGUAUGUUUAGAAUGUGUUGUAUUGGGACUUCAUUAACCCAUUAAACUAUACAACUUUCAGCAACGGAUCUCUUGGCUCUCCCAUCGAUGAAGAACGCAGCGAAAUGCGAUAAGUAAUGUGAAUUGCAGAAUUCAGUGAAUCAUCGAAUCUUUGAACGCACCUUGCGCUCCUUGGUAUUCCGAGGAGCAUGCCUGUUUGAGUGUCAUGUUAAUCUCAACCUCCCCGGCUUUUGUCGUGGGUCGGUUGGACUUGGAGGAUUUGUGCUGGCUGCAAAGUCGGCUCCUCUUGAAUGCAUUAGCUUGGACCUUCUACGCGUCUGCGGUGUGAUAGUUCUAUUCACCACGGGCUCGAAGGAAUUCGGUCUGCUUCCAACCGUCUUCGGACAAUUUCUAAUGACUCUGACCUCAAAUCAGGUAGGACUACCCGCUGAACUUAAGCAUAUCAAUAAG
rnacentral:rRNA from 1 species